rnacentral:rRNA from 1 species
UACGUAGGACGCAAGCGUUAUCCGGAGUUACUGGGCGUAAAGGGCGCGCAGGCGGCUCGAUACGUCUGGUGUGAAAUCUCCUCGCUCAACGGGGAGAGGCCAUUGGAAACGGUCGAGCUGGAGGGCAGUAGAGGUAGGCGGAAUUCCUGGUGUAGCGGUGAAAUGCGCAGAUAUCAGGAAGAACACCCGUGGCGAAAGCGGCUCUCUGGAACGGUACUGACGCUGAGACGCGAAAGCGUGGGGAGCAAACAGG